rnacentral:rRNA from 1 species
UACGUAGGGGGCAAGCGUUGUCCGGAUUUAUUGGGCGUAAAGAGCGUGUAGGCGGCCAGAUAGGUCAGCUGUGAAAACUCGAGGCUCAACCUCGAGAUGUCGGCUGAAACCAUCUGGCUAGAGUCCGGAAGAGGAGAAUGGAAUUCCCGGUGUAGCGGUGAAAUGCGUAGAUAUCUGGAGGAAUACCGGUGGCGAAGGCGGCAUCCUGGACCAUUACUGACACUGAGGAGCGAAAGCGUGGGGAGCGAACAGG